rnacentral:lncRNA from 1 species
AGUGAUUCAUUUUACGUAAUUUCAGACAAAUAAGAUUAGAACUCUUGGUUUUUAAAAAUGAGUUCAGGGAUGACGUAUAUUAAUCCCAAAGAAUCCCAGCCAUAAUAAAAUAACUGUUUGCUUUGAAUUUCUUUUAGUUAUUGAGGAACCAGAGAUUUCCUGCCUCCUAUCACCAUGCAGUGGAAACUGUUGUGAAUAUGCUGAUGCCACACAUCACUCAGAAAUUUCGAGAUAACCCUGAGGCAUCUAAGAAUGCAAAUCAUAGCCUCGCUGUCUUCAUCAAGGUGGGAUCUUCCUCAGAUGUGACUAAGAUGGGCUCUUUAAGUAGCUACCUUGCAAUGACUAGAGCAGGUGCUCCGACAGUAUUGGUGGCCUAUUUUUAUGCUGAAGUAUAAACUUACUGACAGUGGGUGCUGUUUAGAACCCUGAUUUCCAAAAAGUUUGGGCUUGAAAGGACCUUUGUGGUUGUCUUGCUCCACAGAGAUGCUUCACCUUCAUGGACAGGGGCUUCGUCUUUAAGCAGAUCAACAACUACAUCAGCUGCUUUGCUCCUGGAGACCCCAAGACUCUCUUUGAAUACAAGUUUGAAUUUCUCCGGGUGGUGUGCAGUCAUGAACAUUAUAUUCCUUUGAACUUACCGAUGCCAUUUGGAAAAGGCAGGAUUCAAAGAUACCAAGAUCUCCAGCUUGACUACUCAUUAACAGAUGAGUUCUGCAGAAACCACUUCUUGGUGGGACUGUUACUGAGGGAAGUGGGCACCGCCCUCCAGGAAUUUCGGGAGGUCCGUGUGAUUGCCAUCAGUGUGCUCAAGAACCUGCUGAUAAAGCAUUCUUUUGAUGACAGAUACGCAUCUAGGAGUCAUCAGGCAAGGAUAGCCACUCUCUACCUGCCUCUGUUUGGGCUACUUAUUGAAAAUGUCCAGCGGAUCAACGUGAGGGAUGUGUCACCCUUCCCCGUGAACCCAGGCAGUACUGUGAAGGAUGAGCCCCUUGCUCUGCCAGCUGGGAAUGCACUUGUGACGCCACAGAAGGGAAGCACGCUGGACCACAGCCUGCACAAAGACCUCUUAGGUGCCAUCUCUGGCAUUGGUAAUGCUCUGUGCUCUUACAGGCCUCUCUCUGGGGUCACACACAGUGCCCAUAAUCUGAGGGUUGUUAAUGUGUUGCACCAGGGGAUUAGGACUUGGGUGUCUGAGUGUCUGCCUUGCGUAUUCUUUCUGGUGGUGAUGUUUCAUGACAAAAAUCCCUUAACUGUAAUGACUGUAAUAAAAAUUCCAAAAUUCUUGUGACUCCUGAACAUAGUGCAUUUAAUCACUCACCUAGGCUGUUUGCUGUUUAUUAAAUGCUUGUUAAGUUGAUUUGACAUUUUAAAUCUUUGAACUGGAAGUGCCCAGCUAGCUCAGUCAGUAGGGCACGAGCCUCUUAAAUCUUUUCUUUUUUUUUUUUUUUUCGGUACCGGGAUUGAAUUCAGGACCUUGUGCUUGUAAAAAGAAUAAAGAUAGGAAAUGAAGAAGUCAAAUUGUCAUUAUUUGUGUGUGUGUGUGGUUUUUUGUUUUGUCUUGUAUUUUUUGGUACCGGGAAUCGAACUCAGGUCCUUCCACUUGUGAGGCAGGUGGCGGAACCACUGAGCUAAAUCCCUGGCCUGAGACCCUUCAAUCUUAAUUGGAUUAUUUAUAUUUUUCGAAAUGAAUAUCUUUGCAGGUGUUGGGGGCAAGAUUUACUUGUAAUGUUGAUGAUUUAAAUAAAAUGUGACAAAAUGAUUCCUGAAAGAAAUAGAAGUUCAUGGCUAGGACUCAAUCUUAAAAUCAGUUUUCAGAAAUUGAUUUUUUUCCUACAUGAAACAAUGGAAGAGCAGCCCCCAUGGGGAGGAAAACAGAUGGUGCAAGCUAAGAUUCAAAUAGAAUUGUUUUUCCAUAAGAAAAUGCUUGAGAAAAUAUAACUAUUUAUAUUCUGACUAAUGGAGCUGCAGCUUCAUAAAGAUAAUGGUACUGUAUCUUUUUCUCAAGUAAUACAGAUGUUGAUAGUCUUCUGUUUCUCCGUCUCUUUACCACACUUUUAUUAAAUGAAGCAUCCUACUGUGGCUAGUGGUUAAAUUACCCAUUAAUAACACAAACUUGGGGGCAGAAAAAAGUACACUCUUUUAAUCCAAUUAAUUGUCCAUCCCGACAGCAUGUUCUUAGUUUUGUAUUAUUAUUAAUAUGCCAUUUUACAUGGUAGGUGAUGAAACAGGGAAAAUGUAAAAUAAGAAAGCCCAUACCAAUGCCCAAAUUUAUCCUACACUACCACUAACAAUUAUCUUAUUUAUAUUUAUGUAUAUUUUUCAUAGUUCUACUCCCCUCAUUUAGCAUUGUAAAAGUUAAUCUGUUCAAAUGCUUGGAACAGAGACUGGCACACAGUAAAUACGUAGCAAAUGUUGGGUGCUCUUGCAAGUUUCCAUUUGCCCAUUUUUGGAGCCUUCGUUCUGUUUCUGUCCUGCUCUGUCUACAUGUCAAGCUGCUGCCCUGGGAGUGGGGAGGUGACUGGUCUGCAGCAGUUCAUGCCAGUAGCUUAGAUGAGACAGGUGUGGCCUUGGG